UUGUGAGUCUGCACACCUCUGCUUGCAGGAGUACGAUUCCUUUGUGUUUCCCACCCCUCGUUCCUGUGCACCUGGAGCCUGAUGGGCACACUUAUGGGUCAUCAUCCUGCUGCUUCUACUUAAAAUGGAAAACCAUUAGUCAACGCCUGAUCGUUGGGCUCACACUGAUAACUUGAGGCGUUUCUGGGAGAGGUUUGUGAGAGAGGAUCUGUUGAAGGUAAAUCCUCCACAUUGUACUUUUCAGCAAAUUAUUGUUCCCAUUCAUGUUGUUGAUACUCUACAGUAAUAGGGUGUGACAUAAAACUGUUGCUUCAAAUAUAUACAGUAUCUCUAUGUGAAGAAAUUCAUGCAACAAACUCAUUUCGGUCAAUCUUAAUGGCGCACACAUGCAGGACAGAACAGAG
ensembl:lncRNA